UAAGCGGAGGAAAAGAAACUAACAAGGAUUCCCCUAGUANCUGCGAGUGAAGCGGGAAANGCUCAAAUUUAAAAUCUGGUGGCCUUUGUCCAUCCGAGUUGUAAUUUAGAGAAGCGUCUUCCGCGCUGGACCGUGCACAAGUCUCCUGGAAUGGAGCGUCAUAGAGGGUGAGAAUCCCGUCUUUGGCACGGACACACCAGGGCUUUUGUGAUGCGCUCUCAAAGAGUCGAGUUGUUUGGGAAUGCAGCUCAAAAUGGGUGGUGAACUCCAUCUAAAGCUAAAUAUUGGCGAGAGACCGAUAGCGAACAAGUACCGUGAGGGAAAGAUGAAAAGCACUUUGGAAAGAGAGUGAAACAGUACGUGAAAUUGUUGAAAGGGAAACGCUUGAAGUCAGUCGCGUCGCCCGAGACUCAGCCUUGCCUCGGCUUGGUGUACUUCUCGGCUGACGGGUCAGCAUCAAUUUUGCCCCUUGGAUAAUGGCGAGGGAAAUGUGACACCUUUACGGGUGUGUUAUAGUCUCUCGUCGCAUGCAAGGGUCGGGAUUGAGGAACUCAGCACGCGCCUUUGGGCGUCGGGGCGUUCGCCCACGAUACGUGCUUAGGAUGUUGGCGUAAUGGCUUUAAACGACC
rnacentral:rRNA from 1 species